rnacentral:rRNA from 1 species
GUGGAUUAGAUACCCGGGUAGUCCACGCCGUAAACGAUGAGUGCUAGGUGUCGGGGGUCAAACCUCGGUGCCGCAGCUAACGCAUUAAGCACUCCGCCUGGGGAGUACGCUCGCAAGAGUAAAACUCAAAGGAAUUGACGGGGACCCGCACAAGCAGCGGAGCAUGUGGUUUAAUUCGAAGCAACGCGAAGAACCUUACCUGGACUUGACAUCCCUUUGACCGCUUCGUAACGGAAGCUUUCUCUUCGGAGACAAAGGUGACAGGUGGUGCAUGGCCGUCGUCAACU